AAUGCGGAUUGUUUUUUUGCGGCCUGGAAAUCUCGCUGCAUGUGGUGACCCUAUAUCCCGCCUUUGGAUUGGAAGUUGAUGAAGGAAGCAUUCAAGCUUCUUAGACCAGUGCUUGCUUCGAUAUGUGAUGCCAAAUUAUAAGGCUUUCUACAUCUUUCUCUCACUGUUAGGUUUUCAAAACUCCAAGGGAGGAGCCCUUUACCAAAAAGGAGUUGGAUGAGGUUCGAGACAAGUGGGCUAUUUACUUCAACGAUUGUGAACUACCCUCAGUGUAAUAAAUAGAGCAGAUUUGUAGUUAUUCGUGACUCUUACAUUAUUUUGUUAUUUAUCGAUUUAAUUAAUUACAUUUGAAUUAAUUCGGUAAUAUUAUUGGAAAUUUGAAAUUUAUAUCA